GGAGAGAUACUCAAGUGGCUGAAGAGGACGGUUUGCUAAACCGUUAGGGGGUCUUACUGGCCCCGCGAGGGUUCGAAUCCCUCUCUCUCCGCCA
rnacentral:tRNA from 9 species